AGUGAACGCUGGCGGUAGACCUAACACAUGCAAGUCGAACGGCAGCACAGUAAGAGCUUGCUCUUACGGGUGGCGAGUGGCGGACGGGUGAGGAAUACAUCGGAAUCUACUUUUUCGUGGGGGAUAACGUAGGGAAACUUACGCUAAUACCGCAUACGACCUACGGGUGAAAGCAGGGGAUCUUCGGACCUUGCGCGAUUGAAUGAGCCGAUGUCGGAUUAGCUAGUUGGCGGGGUAAAGGCCCACCAAGGCGACGAUCCGUAGCUGGUCUGAGAGGAUGAUCAGCCACACUGGAACUGAGACACGGUCCCGACUCCUACGGGAGGCAACAGUGGGGAAAAUUGGAAAAAGGGGGGAAGCCUGAUCCAGGCAAAACGCGUGGGUGAAGAAGGCCUUCGGGUUGUAAAGCCCUUUUGUUGGGAAAGAAAAGCAGCAGGUUAAUACCCCGCUGUUCUGACGGUACCCAAAGAAUAAGCACCGGCUAACUUCGUU
rnacentral:rRNA from 1 species